ensembl:lncRNA
CCCCAGACUGUCAGAGGGAAUUAAAAGCAUGUGUGUGGUUUGCCUAGCUAUCUGCGAGGUGCUUGUGGGAAGCUUGCUUGCUCUUUGCUCACGAUAAAGACUCCUACUUUGGGGACCCGCUGUGGUUAAGGCCCUGGCUGAUAGGAGCUGGCUUGGUUGUUAUUACAAUUAUCACUCAAAUUACCAGCAUCAUUACAGUUGCAGGCUGAUUCCUUCUCUGCAAGGGGGUUAGGCAAAAAAAAUUAAGGACGGGAUAAAAAAGAUUACUUUUUUUUUUUUAAAUUUCUGUAGCCAAAAUCACCUGACAGCCUAUAUGCAUAUGAAAAACAUGAACAUAAUUGGGGCAUGGUGAUGCUUCUUUCAAGCUUCUGUGAACCACUUGUCCUUCUCAUCAACCCAUCUUUGUUUACCACUUCAGCAUACAAAUGCCAGUCAGUGAGAAGCAAGUAAUAGAAUUAAUGAAAGCACAUCUCUAUACUGUUCACACCCUCUCCUCUAUAUGUUGCACACAAGCCAGUUUGAUGGACAGAAUUAUGCAUGCUAAUGGAACGGUCCUGGCGCAGUCUCUGAGGAGCACAGAAAGAGACGCCCCCGUUGUUAUUCUUAUACCUGACCUGGAGGGCAUUGUCAAGCGGCGCAGAAACAGCUGGCCUUAAAAAGGAGUGCAUAAUCAACUAAAACAAUCAAAGAUAGGCACGUUGGUGUGGCGAUGCAGGUCCCUGAUCAGGCUGCUAGGGCUGGGGGAGAGGCGCCUGCUGCCAUGCCUGUGAAAACACAAGAAAGAGUGGGAAAGCGGGUCAGCGAGUCAGGGUUAUUAAACUCUACUGUGCUAUUGAGUGCCACUGAUAGGAGAAGACUGUGCACUAUUAGAGAGAAAAAAGGUAGAAGAGAAAACAUCGGAAAUCACUUCAAAUAUCUGACCACUGUCAAAUAAGAAAUAAACAUUACUUUGUAUUUGUGUAUAUUCAUGAUUUUUUGUACUACUUAUUUUCAUGUAAUGUUCAAAUAUGGUCAAAAAGUAAAUAUCCAGGAAUUAAAUGCUAAAUACCACUAGACAAUAUCUGUCAACAUCUGCAUCUUUUUAAAUGACAAAUCUCACUGACAAAAAUUAUAUGCAUAUGCUGAUCCUGGUUAAUGUAACACUGGGUCUGAAACAAUUAAACAGAUUAAAUAUU